AAAGGGUGCGUAGGCGGAUGUUUAAGUGGGAUGUGAAAUCCCCGGGCUUAACCUGGGGGCUGCAUUCCAAACUGGAUAUCUAGAGUGCAGGAGAGGAAAGCGGAAUUCCUAGUGUAGCGGUGAAAUGCGUAGAGAUUAGGAAGAACACCAGUGGCGAAGGCGGCUUUCUGGACUGUAACUGACGCUGAGGCACGAAAGCGUGGGUAGCAAACAGGAUUAGAUACCCUGGUAGUCCACGCCGUAAACGAUGGAUACUAGGUGUAGGGGGUAUCAACUCCCCCUGUGCCGCAGUUAACACAAUAAGUAUCCCGCCUGGGGAGUACGGUCGCAAGAUUAAAACUCAAAGGAAUUGACGGGGGCCCGCACAAGCAGCGGAGCAUGUGGUUUAAUUCGAAGCAACGCGAAGAACCUUACCUGGACUUGACAUCCCUUGCAUAGCCUAGAGAUAGGUGAAGCCCUUCGGGGCAAGGAGACAGGUGGUGCAUGGUUGUCGUCAGCUCGUGUCGUGAGAUGUUAGGUUAAGUCCUGCAACGAGCGCAACCCUUGUUAUUAGUUGCUACCAUUAAGUUGAGCACUCUAAUGAGACUGCCUGGGUAACCAGGAGGAAGGUGGGGAUGACGUCAAAUCAUCAUGCCCCUUAUGUCCAGGGCUACACACGUGCUACAAUGGUAGGUACAAUAAGA
rnacentral:rRNA from 1 species